GAUCUCACUUUUGAUCAGCCCUCUUUCACUCUCAAUUCAAGUUAAAGAUUUAGGUGCGUAGCGUGGACCACCCUUUUGGACUCUAAUAUGCUUGUAUGGUUGGACGAGUAUUGCAAACAUUUAAUCAUUUUAAUUAUGAAUUUGGUUGUGUAAUGGAUUUGGACGUCA